CCCAGACUCCUACGGGAGGCAGCAGUGGGGGAUAUUGCACAAUGGGGGGAACCCUGAUGCAGCGACGCCGCGUGAGUGAAGAAGUAUUUCGGUAUUUAAAGCUCUAUCAGCAUUGAAGAAAAUGACGGUACCUGACUACUAAGCCCCGGCUAACUACGUGCCAUCAUCCUCGGUAAUACUUAUUGGGCAAGCUUUAUCCGGAUUUACUGGGUGUAAAGGGAGCGUAGACGGCAAUGCAAGUCUGGAGUGAAAGCCCAAGGACCAACCAUGGGACUGCUCUGGAAACUGUGUAGCUUGAGUGCAGGAGGGGUAAGCGGAAUUCCUAGUGUAGCGGUGAAAUGCGUAGAUAUUAGGAGGAACACCGGUGGCGAAGGCGGCUUACUGGACUGCAACUGACGUUGAGGCUCGAAGGCGUGGGGAGCAAACAGGAUUAGAUACCCCGGUA
rnacentral:rRNA from 1 species